AUUGAACGCUAGCGGGAUGCUUUACACAUGCAAGUCGAACGGCAGCGCGGACUUCGGUCUGGCGGCGAGUGGCGAACGGGUGAGUAAUGUAUCGGAACGUGCCCAGUAGCGGGGGAUAACUACGCGAAAGCGUAGCUAAUACCGCAUACGCCCUAAGGGGGUAAGCAGGGGAUCGUAAGACCUUGCGCUCUUGGAGGAGCCGAUAUCCGAUUCGCUAGUUGGUGAGGUAACGGCUCACCAAGGCGACGAUCCGUAGCUGGUUUGAGAGGACGACCAGCCACACUGGGACUGAGACACGGCCCAGACUCCUACGGGAGGCAGCAGUGGGGAAUGUUGGACAAUGGGGGCAACCCUGAUCCAGCCAUCCCGCGUGUGUGAAGAAGGCCUUCGGGUUGUAAAGCACUUUUGGCAGGAAAGAAACGCCGCGGGCUAAUACCCCGUGGUACUGACGGUACCUGCAGAAUAAGCACCGGCUAACUACGUG
rnacentral:rRNA from 1 species